AUUGAACGCUGGCGGCGUGCUUAACACAUGCAAGUCGAUCGGUAACAGGUGUAGCAAUACAUGCUGACGAGAGGCGGACGGGUGAGGAACGCUUGGGAAUCUGCCUAUCAGCGGGGGACAACCCGGGGAAACCCGGGCUAAUACCGCAUACGCUCUACGGAGGAAAGCCGGGGACCGCAAGGCCUGGCACUGAUAGAUGAGCCCAAGUCGGAUUAGCUAGUUGGCGGGGUAACGGCCCACCAAGGCGACGAUCCGUAGCUGGUCUGAGAGGACGAUCAGCCACACCGGAACUGCGACACGGUCCGGACUCCUACGGGAGGCAGCAGUGGGGAAUAUUGGACAAUGGGCGAAAGCCUGAUCCAGCGACGCCGCGUGGGUGAAGAAGGCCUGCGGGUUGUAAAGCCCUUUCGGUAGGGACGAAAGCUCUCGACCUAACACGUCGGGAGGUUGACUUAACCUACAAAAGAAGCACCGGCUAACUCUGUGCCAGCAGCCGCCGUAAGAC
rnacentral:rRNA from 1 species